rnacentral:lncRNA from 1 species
UUUUUUUUUUUUUUUUUUUUGGCUGCACCCACAGCAUGCAGAAGUUUCUGUGCCAGAAUGGAACGCACACAGCAGUUGCAUACCUGCAACAUCCCUGUCUUCAAAUAAGAUCACAUUUUAAAGCACUGAGAGUUAAGUUUUCAACAUAUGAAAAUGGGGGGUGGGGCAGAAUUCAACAUAUAAUAAUGUCCCAAAUCACAACUGCCUUUCCAUACUGAAUCCAAGAAUGAAGAAGAUAUGUUAAGGAAAGCCUUGCAGAACUACGGUUGACAUUCAAUAUAAGCCACUAAUAAAUCUCAGUAUGUCAGUGAUUUCAGGGCUGUUUUGUCACCACUGCCUUACUCACUAACAGUUCACUAAAAAGGAGAUCUAGUGUGCAUUCACUUGGGGUAGUUCUCUUCACUACAGGUAGUGUAAUGGGUUGAAUUGUGUCCCCCCAAAGUUAAGUUUAAGUCUUAACACCCCCAAUGCCUGUGAGUGUGAUCAUAUUCAGAAAUAGGGGUGUUUGCAGAAGUUAAGAUGAGGUCAUACUGGAUAAGUAUUGGCCCUAAAUCUAAUUCCUGCUGACCUUAAGAGAAGAAAGGAAGAGCAUACAGAGAUAGAUAUAUGUGCAGGGAAGAGGGCCCUCUGAAAAGAAGGUGGCCGUGGAAAAGCCAUGCACAGAGACUGAGUGUUGCAUCUACAAACAAGGAACGCCUAGGAUUGUUGGAGGCUAACAAUAGCCAGGAGAGGCCAAGUGGAAUUCUUCCCCAGAACCUGCAGAGGGAGCAUGGUCUGGAUAACACUGUGAUUUCCGACUUCUCUUAUUCUCUGGAGCUAUGAAAAAACAAGUUUAUGUUGUUUUUAAGCCACCCAGAUUUUGCUAUUUUGAUAUGGCAUCCCAUUAUGUUCAUUCAGAUAGGAACAAUCUCUAGUUUCACUGCAGUGUUUUUAGUAUUCUGUUUCAUGAAGGCCAGGAAUUCGCAAUGCAGCUCCCUCAUCUUUUUUCUUAAUGAAAUGCUACCAAAAUACAGCAAUAACAUGUCUGAAACUGCCUUAGUGGUGGUGUAUGCUUGGUCAUUUUGCCCUGUUUGUUGAUAUUUCAGUGGGAAGUUAAAAAUGCACAACAGGUGCUCCUAAAGCUGACAUUUUGUAACUUACAAACUUAAGCAUUCAGGAAGAGAUUUUCUAUUGAAGAAUUAAUCUUCAUGAUAAAAGAAGGAGAAAAUUGACAACACUGAGGAAAACUGGACUUAAAAUCCAACACUUACUUGAGGAAACAAAUACCUAAAAAUCAACCUCUCUGAGUCCAAAUCUGAUAGGCUCAGUCACAAAGAAAUUCCAACUGCCUGCACAGUGCUGGCCUUACCUAUGAUGCCCCUAGGGCACUAAAAGGUCAAGAAUUUUUUUUUCUAAUACAAAAAUUUGUCUUUAUUUUUUCAGUGUUUUAAUGGUUUCCAUUAUAGUUGGUUUACAGUGUUCUAUCAGUUUUCUACUGUACAGCAAAGUGACUCAGUCACACAUACAUAUAUACAUUCUUUUUCUCACAUUAUCCUCCAUCAAGCUCCAUCACAAGUGACUAGAUAUAGUUCCCAGUGCUAUACAGCAGGAAGGGAAACAAUCAUUUUAUCAUUAACUUUACAGUAACAGAUCAAGGUCACCAUUUGCUGUGCACUUAUCAAGACACCUCUGUUAGAAUGCAAAGAGGGCAGAGUGGGGUGUUUAAGUGCAAGGGCCAGGGUCAUAGCACUGACCUCCCAUUGAACUGGCCUUGGCAGCAAUAGUCAGUACUUACCAUAAUGGGGGAGGCACCUGGGACUCGCCCCUGUAAUCUUGGGGAGAGAGAUUCAACAGUCAGGGGCUUCAUGGAUCAGUGGAAAAUGACAAGCUGACAAUAUCCUUUGCAGAGGCCACAGGAAGGUGGAAUUUGUAGCUUUGGGAGAGUAACCCAAAAAAAGGGAUCAAUUAUUGCGGAAUGGGAUUGAUGAUUAUUUAUACAUUUAUAUCUACCAUAUUUAAUACUUACGCAAGAAUUACACAAUCAUUGAUGAAUCAAACAAUAUAGAAACUUCGAAAAUUGCAAGUCCCCAUAAAUCAACAUCAUCCCCAGAGAUAAGAAUGGUUUUCUGUUUUUUAUAUAUGUAUCUAGAAUUUUUCUAUUUCUUUAAUAACAUAGUUUUCCCUCUCUUUUUAUAAUUAUUUACUUAUUUACAAAAUGGGAUUACACUGCACAUUUUUUUUAAUAAUUUUCUUAUUAGAUUUAACAGUAUGCUUUCUUUUAUAAUAUUAUAUAAAACAUGUAUAUGUAUAUAUACAUGUACUUUUUAAACCUUUUAUAAUACCAUUAUUAUUUUCAUAAUAAUGAAACUUUCUCAUUCCAAAGUUUUCAAGCUCUCCAGAAGAGUACAAAAAAAGGUAGCAAAAAUAUAUACAAAAUUUAAACAACUAAAAUUAACUCGUAUUAACAUUAAAUGAACUUCAUUCCAGUUAUUUAUGUGUAAAUAUAUAGAAUAAUAAUACAGAAACAGAUUAAUAUAUACAUAAAUAACUUUAAAAUAUGUCAUAUUUUAAGUAAGAAAUACAAUUUUACUUGAAUUUUAAAAAUAGAUAAUUUUUAAAACUGAAAUAAAAUUGAAGAUUUUAUGAAAUCAGGCAAAUGUCUCUUCUGACAAAGAAUUAAGUAUAAGGAAAAAUAUAAAAACCAUUAAAGAGGUUGGUUUUAUUGUGUUGUUUUAAACUAAAUACUUCAAACAAUCCUACAAAUAUUUAGCCUUAACCUCCACAUACAUAUGCAUUUAGUGUUGUAGCAAACAUUAUCAAGCAUCUAUUUCUGCCUCCUCCCUUUUUCCCCUUCUCCAAAAAUCUGUUUAUUCCAGUUCCUUCCUUCUUGUAGCCAUGUGCUUCAGGUCAGGUCUGGUGCCAGAGGGAGAGUCUUAAUUGGUCAGCCAUGGUGAUCUCAGGAUCUCUUAGGACUGUAGGUCAGAUACAAUUCUGACCAAUGAGACAUGAGGGUAACUUGGUUGGAAGGCUUCCAGGAAAUGUUUCCUAAUUUUUAAAAGGAAACUCAUAGAAGCAAAAAAUCUAUUCUUCUUCUGAACAUUGUUGCAUUUGGUUGUAGUACUUGGAUUGUUGCCUGACAAUAAAUCUAAUUCUUUUUAAGAGUGGGAACUGAAAGAUUCAGGGAAGCUGGGUCCAUGGUAUCUGUGUUUUACUCCUGUAUUAAACAGAAUGGAGCUACACUGCUUCUGGAACCUCUUGUUACAUAAAGAAAUAAGUAUUCUUGUUGUUUAAGCCAUUUUGAGAUGGGUUUCUGUUUUAUUGAAUCUGACAUUAUCUUCAAAGUUAUCCUAAUGGACAUAAGUAUCUAUCACAGAUCACUUACUGAUUUUAUGUGUGUUUGUGUCUACAGUCCAACUUAAUAUAAAAUAAUCUAGCCUAGGAAUUCCUACUGUGGUGAAAAAGGAUCAGCAACAUCUCUGCAACACCAGACAAGGUUCAAUCCCUGGACCAGCACAGUGGAUUAAAGGGCCCAACAUAUAGGUCAGAAUCGUGGCUUGGAUCUGAUCUCUAGCCUGGGAACUCCAUAUGCUGCAGGGCAGCCAAAUAAGAAAAAAUGAAAUAAUCUAGUCUAAUCCUGCAGUGACUUCAAGGUAAGCUUUAUUAUGUUACAUAGUGGGAACUUUCUAUUAAUUACUAGUAUAACUAAUCCACAUUUUUUUCAUUCAUAAAUCCAUUUAUUCAUAACUGUGUGUGUGUGCAGGUGCACAUGUGCAUGAGGAUGUAUUUACAAUAUGUUCUUAAUGUAUGUUAUAGCUGUGAGUUAAACAUGAAAAAUCACUGCUCAUAUGAAUUUAUAAUCUAGGGUGUGGGAGAAAAGAAGCAAUAAAAUAAAUAAGGAUAUUUUAUAGUAUAUAAUAAGAUGAUCAUUAUUAUGAGGGAAAAACAAGAGCAGGAAAGAGUGUAGGGAGAACCAUGGACAAGGGAUGGGGUAAGGGUUGCAAUUUUAAGUAAGGGGAUUAGGCAAGUCCCCACUGUCUUGUGCAUAUCUAAUCACUGUGUGUUGUUUAAUCACAUGGCUAUCCUGCCGGUGGACAAUUUUACCUAUAGAAAUGAGGCUGUAUCAUGUGAAACUUUUGUUCUUCUAUUUUAUUUUAUUUUAUUUUAUUUUAUUUUAUCUUAUCUUAUUUUAUUUUAUUUUAUUGUCUUUUUUUUUAGGGCCACACCCGCAGCAUAUGGAGGUUCCCAGGCUAGGGGUCUAAUUGAAGCUACAGCUGCUGGCCUAUGCCACAACAAUGCCAGAUCCAAGCCACAUCUGCAACCUACGCCACAGCUCACAGCAACACCAGAUCCUUAACCCACUGAGCAAGGCCAAGGUUCCUGCAACCUCAUGGUUCCUAGUCGGAUUCGUUUCCACUGCGCCACGACGGGAACUCUCUUGUUCUUCAAUUUUAGAUUACAAAAAUUCCUUGAUACAAGGUCUUGGGUCCAGGACACAUCAUUUGAGCAAACAUACAAUUUAUCACCAUCUGACAGACUGUGCCCAUCAAAGCUUGGAAGAAUCAAGCUUUUUGAUAAAGACACAUUUUUUUUAUGCCUUGAAAGUGAAACACAAUCUCUUCCCUCCCACCCAAGUUCUGUUUCAAGUAUUAGUCCAAAAACAAAAGAACCUAAUAUGUACUUUGUCCACCUGGUUUUUUAUCCUUAAAUGUAAUACAAAAUAGCUAUCAUUUAAUGAGGACUUCAAAAUCUCAUAUGAAGUAGCAAACUCAGUGCAAGAUCCUUCUAUUUUACAAUAAUCUUACUACCUUUUAUACUUACCUCUCUCUCAUCUAAUCGUGCAAAGAUUUUGCUUAAUAAAGCAUUUAAUAAAGCAAUUUAUGCAUUUAAUUAAUUUUCCCAAGAAGCCACAGCUGUCUUUUUGCAUUUAUAUUUCAUUCACUUCCAUAUUAUUUAAUUAAAUUUAAAAAUUACAAUAAUGAGUACAACUGAUUUAAACUAUAACAACAAAUUCCUUGAUUAUUUCACAAGUAAAUAAAAAAAAGCAUAGGACUAGAUAUUUUUCUUUAGAAAGUUAGUGCUAGUCUCACGGGCUGUGUGAUCUUAUAAUUGAACUGAAGCAAUAACUCACCUUGAUGGGUGAAAUUUGUCAAAAAAAAAAAAAAGAAAAAAGAAACCUUCCCACUCUGACUUUUCCUACCAUCUGGCCAGGAUGCACAUUGGGAAGACUUUCUCCAUAGGUUAGCAUUCUGUUCUUUACAGUCACAUGGGUCUCUGGGGAGGGUGAGCCACUGUUGGUGUCACGCAGGCAGAAAUUAUGGUGAAUGACAAGUGACCAGAGAAUACCAGGAUUCAGGAGUUAGCUGAUUUGUCACAUAUACAAGGAGGGUUGUAAGUACAAGCAAGCUCAGAGGAAGUCAGCUGAUCAGGAGUCUUUUUGUGAUAGAUAUAUUCAAUGAUUAGGUUUAGAGGAUAUUUCUAGAAGACUAGACAGAAAUCAAGAGGUAUAUGAGCAAGAGAAAAAAAAAGGCAGGGAUAAGUACAAACACACAUCCAGUCAAUGCCUGGAAGGUUGAGGCAGAUGGAUGCCACCAUUCAGUCUGCAUUACUCUUUCCAAUCAGGGGAAGCCAAUUCCUGAGAAAGAAAACCUUGGAGAGCAAACAAUCAGUUCUGCAGGGUAAGCUAAUAGAGGGGAGCACAUCAAACACUGAGAUUCCCCCAAGUGGUUCUCUUUCUUCCAGGGGAUGUAUAAUACUGUAUCAGUGUCUAACUUUCUAAGCAAGACUCUCUAGUCUUGUUAAGGAUAUGUCACCAGUUAAACACAGAGGAAACAAUGUUUAAUGUUGUUUAAUGUUACUUUGUAGAUGCUUGCUAAUGCUCAGAAACAGAAAGAAUAUCACAAGAAAAAAUUAUUAACAUUCUCAGGAAUCCAAAAUGUGAGGGUAUGAAAGGUAGGAAUGGGCCAAAGGAGAAAACUAAUAUCCUUACACCUAGUCCUCGGAAUACUGAGAGAUCAAGAAAAAUAAUUUGCUAAAUUCUAAAUUUCAUCUGCAUCUAUUUCUACUGUGGUGAUGUUAAAAUAGGGCUAUAGAUUCUUCCAUCCUUCUCCCAUCAGGAGGUGUGGUCUAUGCCCCUUCCCCUGGAAUCUGGUAGGCAGUGGCUUCUUGGACAAUAGAGUAUGUAGGAAGAAACACAAUGUAACUUUUGAAGAUAAAUCAUAAAAACCCAUGGCACUUCUGC